AUUGAACGCUGGCGGCAGGCCUAACACAUGCAAGUCGAGCGAGUGGCGGACGGGUGAGUAAUGUCUGGGGAACUGCCUGAUGGAGGGGGCUAACUACUGGAAACGGUAGCUAAUACCGCAUACCAUCGGAUGUGCCCAGAUGGGAUUAGCUAGUAGGUUGGGUAAAGGCUCACCUAGGCGACGAUCUCUCGCUGGUCUGAGAGGAUGACCAGCCACACUGGAACUGAGACACGGGCCAGACUCCUACGGGAGGCAGCAGUGGGGAAUAUUGAACAAUGGGCGCAAGCCUGAUGCAGCCAUGCCGCGUGUAUGAAGAAGGCCUUCGGGUUGUAAAGUACUUUCAGCGGGGAGGCGUUACCCGCAGAAGAAGCACCGGCUAACUCCGUGCCAGCAGCCGCGGUAAUUC
rnacentral:rRNA from 1 species